CAGAGGAAGUGUUCCAGUAGAUCAGACACAUUUCACUUUCUCAGAUCUUAGUAAAAAUCAAAGUGCCCAGGGCCACCCACAGCUUAGAUCCUGCCUUCCUGCUCCUAUCCCCCUGGGAGCCCACUCUUCCUACCCUGGCAUGUUUGGAUGACUUCUGGGGAGACACCAGGGCUGGAAAGGGACCCAGCUACCAUGUGGUCCCCUUUAGUCUCCUACGGGGAACUGAUGCUUUUGCUGCUUUUGGUACUUCUUUCUGGAAUUCGAGGUGAUUGUGGACCACCACCAAAACUGAACAAUGCCAUUCCUUAUAACAAACCUCAUGGAGAAAGCUUCCUCCCCAUGCAGUCAGUAAACUACAAAUGUCUGGCUGGUUUUUAUAACAUCUAUGGGAAACUGGAUGUUGUAACAUGUCUUCCAGAUUCACAUGGAGCCCCAUAGAGGGUUUUGCGAACGCACCUGUGUGAAGCCAGCAGGGCCAGAUUUGCUAGAAUAAGGUCAAAAGAUAUCUGCCCUUCAUCCUGCAGAGACCAAAGUGAGCUUUACAUGUCGUCCAGGUUAUAACCACCAUCCCUGGAAUAAAUUCUGCUAUUACAUGUCUAAGAAUUAUACCUGGACACGCUCCAGUUUUUUG